GUAAUCGCAGAUCAGAAUGCCGCGGUGAAUACGUUCCCGGGUCUUGUACACACCGCCCGUCACACCAUGGGAGUCGGAUAUGCCCGAAGUCAGUGACCCAACCGCAAGGAGGGAGCUGCCGAAGGUGGAGCCGAUGACUGGGGUGAAGUCGUAACAAGGUAGC
rnacentral:rRNA from 1 species